GCCCCGGCCGCCCCCGGGCCGCGGGAGGGCUGGGGGCCGCCGGGCGGAGCCGGCCCGGCCGGAGGCGCCGCCUCACCGCGCUGGGGCGCGCAGCUCUAGUUCCCCCCCCCCGCCGUGAGGCUCGCCUGUGUUUUCCUGAUUCUCCUUCUUCCUCCGCAGUGCUGCUCUGAUUUAGCUCUUUCUCCAUCUUUCCUGCCUUCCCGAUCCGGCAGGGAGCUGCCUUUUCCCUAGCGGAGGUGGCAAGGGAGCAGCCGCUGCGGAGGGCAGGGCUGGCGGCCCGCCGUGGGGCAGGGGGUGCUCCGGGGGCUCGCACCCCUCGCAGUUAGGUGCUGGCGGCGUUUCCUGGCCCCGCUCCCAUAAUAUAUGUUCUUAGGCCGCAGUGGGAGUCACUGGCCGGUUUCUUAGGGUCUGGUUUAAGAGGAAGUGGGUAGGGACUUGUAACGACUCUGUGCUCCCCUCAAAAACGGGCUCAGGUACGGGAUCGCAGGCUUCAUGGGAACUAAACAGGACUUCUGUUGUUCUGUGAGGUAAAAAGUCAGAAUCUUGCAGUUUGAUAAAGAAGUGACAGAUAAAGGCCCUGAAGGAGUGACAAAUAAAUGAUCGGUAUUCUCUUUUCCGUAAGUUCAGUAUUUCAUGCUCUUUAAGAGGACUGGUUAUGUGUUGUUGCAAUUUGGUAGACAAGAAUAUGUGCUUUAAUAUGUAUUGUAAAACUUGGAUUUUAUUCAGAUUUUUAGAUGAAAAGAUUUGUAGGAAACUACUGUAUUCUAUGGCACCAUUCAGUUACAUCUCUUCCAUAUAUAUAUGUAUGUAUAUAUUCACGCACACUUGGAUUGGACGAUGCCUCCCCCUCCUUUACAUUUCAGCUCAUAACACUACUGAAGGAAUUCCAAGCAUGCCAUUAGUGUAUAAAGUUUGGACUCAGAAUUGCUUUGUCUAACUACUGAAAUAUCCUUGUCUUUAUCCGAUGUAUGCCAAAAAGAAUAUUUGCAAAUACAUUUGAAAGUAUCACUACAUGAUUAGUUAGAAACAGCUUGUGUUUCUCUAGUGGGAGAGUCGAGAAAUAUCAAGUGUCCCAAAAACAAUGCUGUAGGAUUUACCCUCCAGCAAAUUCACCUAUUAAGUGCAUUUUCUAGAAAUGCAUUUAUGGAGAGGUGUACCAUUACUCAAUUUAAAACGUAUUGUUUGGGUAGUAUGCCCUCUGCCCGUCAGUCUCCCUACAUACAGUUUUGGGGUUUUGUUUUUGAAGUUUUCAGUCUGCUGUUUAAUGUACUUAGGGUAGACUGUGUCUCUCCCAUUUUGCAGUGAAGUUGCUCCUGAGCACAGUGAAAAGGGAAACUCCACUUAAAUAAGAGCAUUUCCUUGCUUUGACUGUAUUUGGGAAUUCCCUGAGCAGAGAUUUGCUUUGGCUGAUCUUCAUACAGCUUUGUUUUUGAUUUGAAUACAGGCUGCAACAUAUAGAGCAUAGACCUAGUUGGCUUGAAAGCAGUAUUAUGCACUUCUUCAUAGCUUGUGGGGGUAAUGUAUCCUUUACAAAGGAUAUGGGAUAGUAGCAGCAUUUACUAUUGCCUGAUAGACCAAAAGCAUUGGGCAACGCUGGUUGAUUUAAGAGCCUUGAUUGCUGUUAGCUUCUUGAUAAGCUGUAGAUGAGCCCUGAGGCUGUCAGGCAAAUCUGUAGAAGACAUGAAAAUCUUUGGACGUAGCACUUGCAAGCAUUCUGCUUGCCCAAGGUGCUGCUGAGGAGCAGAGCUGGGCAAAUUGGUGGGAAGCAAGGCAGCCUAUUGUCUGGAGUCCGUUAAAAUUCUCUGUCACUUUUUGUCAAAAUUAAACGUGUUUUACAGACUUGUAAACUUGGAUAUGUAGGCAUACUCUGGAAAAAAAUUAGGGGAACUUCAGAUCAGCUUUGUGCUUUUUUUAAAAAGCACCUAAAGUUAAUGUAUUCUGACUUUUAUGAACACUCUUCUGGGAAAAAAAAAUCUUUAGAAACUGGUACUGAAGGUUUGUAUCUCUUACCUCUGUUGAGAAUGAAAUUAUAUCUUAAUACAGACUCAUAUGAGUCUGUAUUAACUCUUCUCAUUUGCAUUACCUGUAAUAUACCACUCCAUUCUUCUCAGUCUCUAGCAGAAAAACACGUAAGAAAUGGAUAGUUGUGUUAUUAGGCUAUUGCAACAGCAAGGUAUACUUUGAGAGGUGAAGUUAUCUUCUUAUCAGAGAUGAUAACUGGCCACUGAGAAUUUUGGUUGUAUUUAUAUGUAAGAUAUCUAAAAUAUCUUAGAGUGUAAUGUCUGAAGUACUGAGUAGGACAGAUAUUCAUAUGGGAAUGAGACCUGGAGGGGGUUUCUAAAAAUAGCUGCCUCCAAGAGAGGAAACCUGCGUGAAGAAUCGGAUUUUAAUUAAACUUUUUUUUCUUUAAUGCGUUUUACUGAUAGUGUUCACUUGUAAUCAGAAGGCACAAGGAAGGGUACUUCCAGUUUUUGCCUUUUCUUGGUACUUGCCAGUGUGACUUUUUAAGAUUGUCAUGCAUGGUCUUGUUUUUGGUUUAGAAGUGGCAAUACUUCUAGAUUCUCAUUGUUCAGAAUGCAAAAGUUUUGUGUUAUUUAAUUAAUUUAUAGGAGCAAUCUAAUGUAAAAGUUUAGACACUGAAUUUAAAGCUCGAUCUUUGAUUUAUAAUGGAAAAAGUCACUUCAGUCAUCUACUGGAGCUAGUAACUAGCUGGUAGAGCUAGUAGUUUAUAAGUGUGUGGUUUUUUUUGUUUUUAAAUCAGAGAUUGGGACUUUAGCUUGAAGCUUAUUUGGAGUGUGGAUUAUUCCUGAAGUGGCAGUGCUUAUGAAAUGCACUCUGUCAGAGUUGCCUGAGAGCUUUUCCUGUAGUAAGUUUUGAGGUUGUGCUUUAUCCUGUAGCAUGAUAUACUACUGUUACAAGGCUAUAAACAAGAGGAAAAAGGAGUUUUGUAUAGAUUAAUUAUUGUAGUUUUAACACUAAUAUAUAUGCAUUUUGAUGACUUUCCUGUAACAUUCUUUACUUCCAUUUGUAUAAAUUUACAUAGAUGUACUCAUUGAAAAAUUCAGUCCCUUCUGCCAUUUUUCUUAAUGCUUUUAUUACUGUUUACAUCUCUUCUGAGUACUGGAAUAUGAUUUUUUACUUUCACAGAAUCUCACUAAACUAUUUGGUACUUAAAUCCAUUCACACUUUUUUUUUUAAUCUGAAUUCACAUUUGAAUGAAACAACCUAUAUGAGAGGACUGAAGAAAACUUUUUACCUCAAAGUGUGAAUGAUUUAAGUUCUGAUAGGUUUGGGUUUUUCCUUUCCUUCAUUUUUCUCUACUAGUCCUCUCCUGCAAUAUAAAGGCAAAUAUUUUUAGUAAAUUAAGUUCUGAUCUAUAAUCAAAAUCUGAUGUAUCUAAACCAGUAUUUCAGGUAAAUGUGAACAGUUUGUUCAGACAAUAGCAGCAACAAAAUUGCUGCUGUUCUCUUCCACUUAUUUGAUGGAAAAUAGGGUAUUUUAAGUGGGAAUCACUGAAAGGGUAGGAUCUCCUCAUGGCAUCUGAGUCCUAAUUGAACAGGAUGACUACAACAUUUGCAAAGAUAGGUAAGCCAAAGUUGCCUUAUGAAGAAACUGUAAAGCUUAAAAUAUAAAGAGCUUUACAAACUGAGUGUAAUGUGAUUCCUUGUAGUGUCACUUCUUAAAGAAUCCACAGAAGCAACCUAGAUGUUCUUCUGAUCAUCCUUGCUCCUUGUCUAAAGACCAGCUGUAUAAUUAGGCUCCAUGAACAGUCUGUUGCUGCAGAACCUGAAAUUCUAUUGUUUUCUGUUCAUGUCAUGGUUUUCUGUUUGUUUUUGUGUUGGGAAAGGUAAUUGGCAUCUGGUAUACACAUAUUAAAACAUUAACUGUGAUCUCUUUGAAAUGGUUUCUUGCUCUGAUUUCACUCAAAGUAGCAAUUUAGUCAAUUGUAGAAAAUUAUUUUGCUGAUCCAUAUAUAAUUCAGUUAGAAGUGAGUAGGCAACUUUUCUUGCCUGUUAUUUAUCUUCUGUUUUUAUCAUGUAACACUAAUCUAGCUGUAGCUUAUUUUCUGUGGUUCUGUGAUAUUUUAAACCCACGAGUAGAAUGCUAUCUAGUAUUAAUACCUGAUGCCUCUUAAACUUUCCUCAUUACUCGGUCUUGGUGUUUCCGAACAGAUAGUUGCUGUAUUAGAUACUGAGCAGUGGAUUUAAGUUGGUUAUCUAGGCUAUCUGAAGUGUCUUCUAGUGGACUUGCAUUGCUAUAAGUGUCUGUGUAUACAGAUACUGGCAUUUUUGACAUAUUAAGCAGUAUUUAGUGUUUCAAAAUGUUGACCAUUUUCUCUGAUCUUUACGAAAGAGUUAAAUCUAGCUGUCUGAGGUCCGUUGUUAUUAGUAUAUCAUGUUGUUCUCUAAUUGAUUUGUGGCUUUUAGAUAGUCUACAAUUUUGUAUAUUAUUCCAUUUUAGAGAUUCACUGCAGUCUAAUCAAGAUCACUUUCAAUGAUGGCUUCCCCCCCCCAAAUUAGUUCCAUAGAGUAAACUUUUAUUUUCUAUUUGAAGACUAUUUUAUUUAUUUUUUUUACAGUGAAAAUAAACUAGGCUUAAAGAAUGGCUUUUAAGUGUUACUUGUGUAAAUGGAUUUUUUUUUCCACAUCUUGUGAUUUUUUUUUCUUUGGUUUUUUUUUUGACUAAAUCAUUUGACUGACACCUGUAUAAAAGAUAAUAUAAACCCCUUGCUUUCUGAAUUGAAACUCUAGGUGUUAAAUUGAGGUUUUAGUCUUUCUUGAUUACUGUUUUACAUGCUUGUAAGUGUUUUGGGGAAAGGAGAUCACUUUGUCAUCUGUCCCUGAAUUUCCAUUGUGCAAACUUUAAAGAAGAAACUAAAAAUUAUUAUGUCCAGUUAAAAUUGAGAAGCUUAGUAUUUUGAGUAUUUCACUGAUUUGACUGCAAUUAAGACUGAAGAGUUAUUUUCUGCAAUGUCAUAUGAAUGAGUGUGUUAGAUCAGAAGUGGCUAGUACCUGUGAGGUUAUCCCAUUCAAUUGUUUUCCUUAACUGAUCAAAAAUAUUUUCAUCCUUCUUUUUGGUGAAGCCUUCCCAAAGUAAAGGAGUGUAAGUAAAGUAAAAGGAAUGUUUUUGGAAUGGUGAAGAAAUUCAAGCUAUUGAGGAUAUAGAUUAUGAAGAAUGUCUGUCUUAAUCUAGUGGCUGCUGAGAAAUCACUGUAUAGACUUAUUAAGUAGAAAUCUUUCUGAUAAAUUGUAACUUUGGGCAGGUAACAUUAAAAAAGGUCUGUUAGCCCCAUAUUAUGAACCUUGAAAUAUCUACGUUAUCCAUUUACUUCUGUAUACAUGUGUUGUGGAGGGGGAAUAGUAUUUUUUUUUCCUGAAUUAAGUAAUUGAGGCUUUGUUUUAGUCUCUUUCAUUUUGAAAAUUUUUAAAAGUAGAUGUAGGCCAUCUCUGCUAUGAUUUCUUUGUAGUGAUAUAUCCCAAACCCAUAGCCUAUGAGAAGUAGAUAAUGAUCAUCAGCAUCUGUUGCUGAACUAAACACUAGUGUGAAUAGGUAACAACCAAUUGCAGCAUUCAGUUUUCCUCCCUACUCUUGCAUUUAAUCAUUAUCCAUUAACUUGUAUGAAGAAAUAACAUACUUCAACUAUAUGUAUGGGCAACUUAAUUAUUGAGCAACUUCUAAGUUGGUUUAUGUUUAAAGUUGUUUACAUGUUUUUGUUCUAUGGUGUGUAAAUUAAGCCUGAUAUUUUCCACUUGUUGGUAUGAAUUGUAUGCAGUAACUGUUUGAAACCUAAAAAAAGCCUCAAACUCAAAUAAACUAAAGGAACCUAGUUUCAGUGGGGAACACUAAUAUUCUGAACAUUAAAUUUAAUCUGCUCGUGUGUGUGUGUGUGUGUGUGUGUGUGUGUGUGUGUGUGUGUGUGUUGGGGGGGGCACAUAUGCUCAACUUUUCUGGGAGUUGCAGUUGAACAGAAUGAUUUGGGAUGCAGUUGUGAGUGAAAUUCUUUUUGUUACACACACACACACACUCACUCACUCAUUCACUCACAAAUAUGUUUGCAUAUAUAUAUAUCCUAAAUUGCAUUUUAAUAAAAGAAAGCAUCUGCAUUUAGGCUAUUUUUUAACCUCCUUUAGAUCUGAAAGACUUCUUUGUAAAGUCUGAUCUCCAAGUCUGUGUGGCCCCAGAGUUGUGCUUAUUUGCCUUGGUGACUAAAAUAAGUCUGCUACUUCUGUUUACACUGCAGAAUCAACACUACUCUGGGAGAGAGAACUAAAUUUUUUCCUUUUGAGGAAGAGCAUAUUAUUUAAAUUCCACUUGUCGUGCCAGUUUGUGCCUCAGCAAACAUAGUUUAGUAUCAUGGUUUUAACAAAGGUGUCACAAAGGGUGUAAUUUUCCUAUCGAGGCCUUCAAGGUCAUGAUGAGCAGUAAGAAAAGUCCCCACUCUGCUUUUGGAAUCUUGUUUAAUUUCAUCGUAUGUAAGAUGUAGCUCUUUGUAUAUGUGUGUGGAUUUUUUCUUUUCUUUUUUUUUUUGUGUGAUGGAAUUGACUUUAUAGAAAAAUUAGUAGUGAUGUAGCAAAUUCUAGAGCAGUCUUUGUAAUGGAAAGGAUUUUUUGUUUUUUAAUGCUACAGUGGAACAAUAGCUUAAAGGUGUUAGUAGUCACUUAAACUCUUUUGUCUUUUCUUGGACUUUAUUAAGAUGAAUUAUUGGUUUGAUUAUGUUAACAGUAUUCUUUAAAGAGUUUGAUUCAGACUGUUUUUUUUUUUUUUUGGUUAUUGCAGACUUACAAUAAGCUUUAUCAACUUCAAGCAGCUUCAAGCCUUUACUACAUAAUGUAAUUCACAGCUCUGAACAUUCAAAACCAGUGGCAGAUUCGUGUAUUGUUUCAUGUUUAGACAGAUGGGAGUGAGGAAGACAAAUGAACUAUUAGUGUGUUUUUAUGCUCGAGUGAAAUGAUAAAUUCACCGUAUUAAUUCUCAAUAUUUCUUCUGAAACUAAAGUAUGCUUUUUGUUUUUCUUUUUUAAGACAUAAAGGCAAUAUAAUUCUUUCAGGAACAAAAUGCCUUUUGUCCCUUUGACAGGAUUUGUUUAGGUUUUUGAGUUUUGCUUAGAGAGAUGUCAUGUAGCUACUUGAAUUAGGGUAUCAAAAAUAUUUUUUGGACUAUGUGUCACUGGAAGUGGAGGUAGCUGGAGUUUUCUCAUGUUUACUUUUUUCCAUCUUUAUGUUGAAUGAUCAUUAUACAUAUUGCCCUAUGAAUAGAGAAAGAUAGCAAUUUCUUUAAUGAGGGAAAACUUACUAAGCUACCUGUUUAUAGCUUUUCAGUGUCCACUGCUGUAUUUUUAAACACUUCUAAAAGCCUAAUUUUCUGUGGUUUCCAAGGCAUUUGGGUGUAUAUUCACAGAUAAAAUGUGAAUGGGUGUGUAAGAAUUGUAGACUCUUUUAUCAAAAAGCUGUUCCUGAGUUUUGAACAAAAGCCUGGUGUUUUUAAUCUGAAUUGUCAAAUGUAUAGAUUUUUCUAAAUAGUCUUCGAUAGUAUAUUCAAGUACAAAACUAUCUAAUCAAAUCUUUAUGCUGUUAGUAUUUUUGGAGUUGAAACAAGACCUAUGCCCUUCAUUUCAUACAUCAGUUUGAGAUUUUUUGGCAGCUACCUAUUAAGCUUUUUCUUCUAAAUGUAACUUGUUCAUGGAAGCCCUGUUUAAUGGUCAUACAAACUAGUGUUUGUGUCUUCCUGGCUUUUUAAAAUGGGGGGGAAAAGAUCUUCCUGUUAACUACAAUUCAAUCUAGAAAAAUGCUUUCAAAAUAGAACAGCACAAAAAGUUGCAAAUCUUUGCUUACAAAGAUAACGUAUCUGCACUUCAAUUAAUAUUCUUGUCCAAUUCACUGUGUGAAUAUAAAACUGGUGAAUUGGGCACUUGUACAUAUUUUUAUCCCCUUCUUCAGCUACUGACUUGGGUAAUGAAGUGUAGAUGUGGCUGUUACAUGCCAGAUGGAAAGGAGCCAGAACAGAGAUGUUGUUUGUACAUGUGCAGAUGUUGGCAGGAUUCCUUGUACUCCUGUUGUGAAAAGAUCUUUUUAUGGCCACAGACUUAUAAAUAUAUCUGUGUUACAUUAUGGCAUGCAGAUAUUAUACUUCUGCUGAGGUUUCCUUCUAAACAAACUGAACUGUUCCUAGAAUUUCUUAUGUGAAAUGAAAUUCGGUGUACACAUACACAACAGGAAGCAUAAUACAUGUGUGUGUUUGUGUGUGUGUUUUUUUUUUUUUUUUUUUUUUUUUUUUUUUUUGUUUAAGAUCAGUAUACAGUUGUGGCUAAUGCUGUACUUGCACAAUCAGUUUAAUCCAUUUUAUAAAUCCGUGCUGUUGCUGGAAGGGAAUGGUCCCCUUAUCCCUCUCCUCUUCUCUGCACCGGCUGUGCAGGCCAUCUCCCCUCCUUUUGUCAGUACUAGCGUUAUGUGGUGAUGUGAUGAGCUGGAUCAGGAUACUGAUUCAGCUGAACCCCAGCUCAGCAAAUAAAGUGAUUUCCAGCUGUGUCACUCUCUUGAUGACAUGGAGGGGAUUGAAAUGAAUGUUUGGCAGGUUGGGAGGGAUGGCCACCUUCCCCUCAAUGGCAGCAUGGCCUUUGCCAGAUUCGAGUGGCUGUGAUUCAGCUUGUGCCUUUGCCUCUCUCCUAAAGUAUGAACAGAAGAGGACUGGGAUGUAGGAAAGGAACAGGGUGGAGUUUGUGCUCUUACGAAAGACACUAAUCAAGCCAUUGCUAGAAUAGCUUUGUUUCUCCUUUAGAAAUUGUUAGAUGUUGUCCAAAAUCAUACCUAAAAUGUGAACAUGGCUAAAGUGCAGUGAUACGAAAAUGUUAUGCUCAUUUGGUGAACUCAGUUAAACCUGUGUUCAUUGGAAAGUGAAAUCAGAUAAACUUUCUCCAAGAUAUAAAAUUGUUUUGUAAGACAGUAAUCUAGCGAUGUGAUAAACUAGACUUGGCUGAGUGUAGAACUGAUAGGCACACGUGUGUGUGUGAUCCUUGACAAAAAGCUGGGAGGCUUUUUCCUGGUAGACACUGGCAGAUAAUAUUUUGAAUUUGUGUAUGUGUUGCCUGAUCCUAGUCAUUCAGUUCUCUGAAUGUCGUCACUUAUGAUAACUCUUUCUUGCUUUUUGUGUGAAACAUCAUGUUCCUUUGUAAAUAAUUAAUUUCAGUUGACGGACAACAUCCUUCUGAUCUCUGUUCAUUUGCAUGUUGGUUUGUUUUGAUCCAAGACUGAACACAGAGAUGAUAUAAGUGCAUGAAAUCUUAUUGUGGGGGUGUUUGUUGAUGCCACAGAUGGAAACUCUUCAUUUUACUGGCCUGUUUGUACAAAAAAAGAAGUAACACUAUUAGCGCACGUUUCAUUUAUAUUUGUUGGAAAAUUACUUUGCUAACCAUGAAAAAAGCAAAUAAAAAACUUAAGUUGUUUCUGUGGAA